AUUUUUAUUAAUUAAUAUGAACUAUGUAAUUCAUUAUAAUUUGGGAACUAAGCCAAAUCAUAUAUAUGAAAGUUGGUUAACUCUCUCCGUAUAAAUGACACAUCAUCACACAACAAAAUGACAUAUGUCAUUCGAUGUUUUUUAAAUUAAUAAAACUAAU
rnacentral:sRNA from 1 species